rnacentral:rRNA from 1 species
AUAUCAGUCAUGCAUAGCAUAUCAAUAAGCGGAGGAAAAGAAACUAACAAGGAUUCCCUUAGUAACGGCGAGUGAAGCGGGAAGAGCUCAAAUUUGAAAUCUUCAAGGUUUUACCUUGACGAAUUGUAGUUUAAAGAAGUGUUUUCUGUUGAAGUUUUGGUAAAAGUUCUUUGGAAUAGGACAUCAUAGAGGGUGAGAAUCCCGUAUUUGACCAUUACUUUCAGCUUUGUGAUACACUUUCAAAGAGUCGGAUUGUUUGGGAAUGCAGUCCAAAAUGGGUGGUAAAUUUCAUCUAAAGCUAAAUAUUGGCGAGAGACCGAUAGCGAACAAGUACCGUGAGGGAAAGAUGAAAAGAACUUUGAAAAGAGAGUUAAACAGUACGUGAAAUUGUCAAAAGGGAAGCGUUUGACACCAGUGUUGUUUUCUCGAAAAUCAAUUAAAAAGAGUUGGAUUUUGUGUUGUAUUGACUUUAUCAGCUUUCUUCACUCUUCUCCAGCUUUUUUUAAUGCACUUUUCGUUUAACAAGUCAACAUCAGUUUCUUUUGUUGUAAAAAGGUCAUUGGAAGGUGGCUUUCUCUUCGGAGAAAGUGUUUAUAGCCUUUGACUCAUGCAAUCGGAGAGACUGAGGUCUGCAGCGUAGAUCCUUCGGGGUUAGAUACAGUUUGUGCUAAGUUAUAGCUUUUCAUAGACAACUUGUUGACUAUGUUUAGUCUUGUAGCUUACUCGCUUAUGCUAUUUUACCUACGCUUAGGAUGUUGAACUCUAUCACACACAG